UACGAAGGGGGCUAGCGUUGCUCGGAAUUACUGGGCGUAAAGGGCGCGUAGGCGGACAGUUUAGUCAGAGGUAAAAGCCCAGGGCUCAACCUUGGAAUUGCCUUUGAUACUGGCUGUCUUGAGUUCGGGAGAGGUGAGUGGAAUGCCGAGUGUAGAGGUGAAAUUCGUAGAUAUUCGGCGGAACACCAGUGGCGAAGGCGACUCACUGGCCCGAUACUGACGCUGAGGCGCGAAAGCGUGGGGAGCAAACAGGG
rnacentral:rRNA from 1 species